rnacentral:rRNA from 1 species
GUGUCAGCAGCCGCGGUAAGACGAACCGUGCGAACGUUGUUCGGAUUCACUGGGCUUAAAGGGCGCGUAGGCGGGUGGUCAAGUCAGGGGUGAAAGCCCACGGCCCAACCGUGGAAGUGCCUCUGAUACUGAUCGUCUUGAGGGAGGUAGGGGCAUGCGGAACUUCCGGUGGAGCGGUGAAAUGCGUAGAUAUCGGAAGGAACGCCCGUGGCGAAAGCGGCACACUGGAUCUCAACUGACGCUGAGGCACGAAAGCUAGGGGAGCAAACAGGAUUAGAUACCCUGGUAGUCC